rnacentral:rRNA from 1 species
GAUGAACGCUGGCGGCGUGCCUAAUACAUGCAAGUCGAGCGAACAGACGAGGAGCUUGCUCCUCUGACGUUAGCGGCGGACGGGUGAGUAACACGUGGAUAACCUACCUAUAAGACUGGGAUAACUUCGGGAAACCGGAGCUAAUACCGGAUAAUAUAUUGAACCGCAUGGUUCAAUAGUGAAAGACGGUUUUGCUGUCACUUAUAGAUGGAUCCGCGCCGCAUUAGCUAGUUGGUAAGGUAACGGCUUACCAAGGCAACGAUGCGUAGCCGACCUGAGAGGGUGAUCGGCAACACUGGAACUGAGACACGGUCCAGACUCCUACGGGAGGCAGCAGUAGGGAAUCUUCCGAAAUGGGCGAAAGCCUGACGGAGAAACGCCGCGUGAGUGAUGAAGGUCUUCGGAUCGUAAAACUCUGUUAUUAGGGAAGAACAAAUGUGUAAGUAACUAUGCACGUCUUGACGGUACCUAAUCAGAAAGCCACGGCUAACUACGU